rnacentral:rRNA from 1 species
AGGACGAACGCUGGCGGCGUGCUUAACACAUGCAAGUCAAGGGGGCCCAGCAAUGGGCAACCGGCGAACGGGUGCGUAACACGUAAGCAACCUACCGAAAUGUGGGGGAUAGCCGGCCUAACGGCCGAGUAAUACCGCAUACGCUCUCGAUGAGGCAUUUCAUUGAGAGGAAACCUACGGGACAUUUCGAGGGGCUCGCGGCCUAUCAGCUAGUUGGCGAGGUAACGGCUCACCAAGGCAACGACGGGUAGC